AAAGAGGACGUUUGCCCCUUCGGGGUAUACCUCCCCACCCCUUUGUUUUAUUAUACCUUUUGUUUGCUUUGGCGGGGCCCGUUCCCUCGGACCCACCGGCUUUUCUGCUGGGUCAGUGCCCCGCCCAGAGGACCCUAAAAACUCUGUUUUGUUUAAUAUUGUCCUGAGUACUAUAUAAUAGUUUAAA
rnacentral:misc_RNA from 1 species